rnacentral:lncRNA from 1 species
AUGGUGGCGGCAGCGCCUCUGAGCCCGCCGCCUCCCGGCCUCGCUGCGGGGCACGGAGCGGCGGGGCCGCUGCCUCGCUGGGGCUCCCGGCCCGGCUACAUCCCGCGGGGGGCGGCGGCGAGGGGAGCCGAGGGGGCUUUGUUGGCCGGGGUUUGGCCGCAGAGCUGCGCUGCGGGGCCGCGCUGUGUGUCCGUGUCCGUGUCCGUGUUCGUGUUCGUGUCCGUGUCCCUGUCCGUGUCCCCGUCCCCGGCUCCACGCGCCCUCCCCGCCCUCCGCCGCCGGGCGCGGAGCGGCCGCGGGGGCGCGGAGGGGCGGGGGGGCGGCGCGCCCCGCCCCGCGCUGCGGGAGCGGGAUGGGAAUGGGGAUGAGGAUGGGAAUGGGGAUGGGAAUGAGGCUCCGGCACGGCCCCGCCGCUCCCAAUGGCGGGAGGACCCGGGAAGGAGAGGGAUUCCAGAGCGCCCUCCCCAAUCCCGAGCCGCCCCGCAGGGAUCAGCGGGAACACGCGGAGGGAAAUACCGGGAAUCGGAGUCCUGCUUGAAGGAUGAAGUGACAUUUCUACAGGCAGAGAAACACAGCCCAAGUCUGGAAAGACUCCUGGGGACGACAGGAUUGAAAUCUGAACAGCGAUGGGAACACAAAACAAUCGAGCCCAGCUGAAUGUGGACAGACCUCAGGCAUUGUUCACAUCUCCCACCAUCAGCAACUGCAGGACAAGUUCAGAGCCAGCCCAACCCUGACCUGAGCUGGCUUUUUGAUUUAGCAACGUGUGCCACUUGCAGGGCUUCCUCUGUCGGAUCCCACAGUGCAGCCAUGGAAAUGAUCAUUCCCUGGGUGAUAUUUGAUGUUGCUGCCGCGGUCAGAGCAGGUUCCUGCUCAAAGGAACCUGUUACCCCUCCUGCCACACCAGCGCUGGAGGUUGGGAUGGAACCGAUGCUCCACGUUCUGACUGUAAAAGCUGGGAGCUGUGUGGGCUGCACAGCUGAGUGUGUGUCUGCAGAAAGCUUUUCCUUCCUCAG